rnacentral:rRNA from 7 species
AAAGGCCUUUAUGAUACAAUCAAUAAUUCGAUUCAUUUUCAAUUAGGCCUUGCUCUAGCUUCGUUAGGGGUUAUUACUUCCUUAGUAGCUCAACAUAUGUACUCUUUACCUGCUUAUGCAUUCAUAGCACAAGACUUUACUACUCAAGCUGCUUUAUAUACUCAUCACCAAUACAUUGCAGGGUUCAUCAUGACAGGGGCUUUUGCUCAUGGAGCUAUUUUUUCAUUAGGGAUUACAAUCCGGAACAGCUGGAGUACGGUAGGGGCAGAGGGAAUUUCUGGUGGAGCGGUGAAAUGCAUUGAGAUCGGAAAGAACACCAACGGCGAAAGCACUCUGCUGGGCCGACACUGACACUGAGAGACGAAAGCUAGGGGAGCAAAUGGGAUUAGAGACCCCAGUAGUCCUAGUCGUAAACGAUGGAUACUAGGUGCUGUGCGACUCGACCCGUGCAGCGUUGUAGCUAACGCGUCUUGCAUAUUGUUU